GGGUCUUUAGCUCAGCAGUAGAGCGGCAGACUUCGGUUUCCAAACUGGAGCACACCUUCUCGGGUGUCAAGCACUCCUUCGCGGGUGUCUUCUGCAGGUCGCGGGUUCAAUCCCCGUAGGACUCU